UUGAGUUUGAGCUGCUGCUGCUGGGCCCACCUUGUCAGCAGGCCCGGCCGGUGUGCCUCGUGCGUGUGUGUGUAAAAAAUAAGUAAAUAAAUCUUAGUCCGUGUAAAAGUAAAGUUGGGGGAACGGAGAAACUGGCACACGAAGCUGUAGUGAAGUUGGGGGAACAGAGAAGCUGGCGAGGCCGGGCGGAGGCAGGUGCCAAGGGGGCCGGUGGUGGGGCGGGGCAGGGCCGGGCCGCCGGCGUCACGGACACGUCAGCCGGGCGCGGAGAUGGGCCUGUAAGGGCCUGUGAUUAACGUAAACCCGGUGAAAUACACGUACUUGGGUCAUGUGUCAUUAAUAAAACACCGUGUCCGACUGCUAUAGGAAUAGACACAGACUGUAUUCGAGUACGUAUUUUCACAAAAUGGGCAAGUUCCCGAAACGCUAGCCCCUUUCUGCUGUGGAUGUAGAUGUGGUAGAUGCCUGGGUAGAUUUCCAGCCACAACCCUGGCACUGGUCCAAUUCAAAGUUCUUUCCAGUUUUGAUCAAACGAGGAGUGUCUUUACAUGAAUUUUGGGAUAUCAACAGAUGAAAAGACAUCACAGACAACAAAAUGUCAGUUAUGAGCAACAGAAAAUUACCCCACUGCUAAUAUAUAUACACAACAUCUGGUGCAAAGCCUAUUGAUAUCAAAGUUGAGAAUUUAAUGUUUGAUGAUUCUGUGCCCGAUCCACAUAAGGGAAAGCACAUACGCAAUUACUUGUGUCAAGAGAGAAACAUUAGAAGCUAUAGUAAUAUUUAUUUUAAAAAGUGAUAUCAAAUACAACCAUAUAUAUUUCUGCCUACUUGGAGAGCAUUUUCAAAAUAUCAAACAGCACUGCCAUUUUCCAGUGAAAACAAUGACAAAGCAUUUCAGCUUUCCUUUUUUUAAUCUUUUCAGUAUUAUAUGCUUUAUAUACACAAAAUAGAGACAAUUGUAUAGGAAUCCAGAGCCAAAGACAUGAUACUGAAAGCAGUCUCAAGACAAAAAAAUCUAUUACUGAAAAUUAUUUCUAAAAUACACAACUAUUAGACAAGAGAUGAAAAAAAUUACUCCCUUACAAAAUCCUAACACUACAGUGGUUUGUACACAUGGGGUUUCAUGUAGCAAAAAAUAAAA